CGGCCGCGGUACCCUGACCGUGCUAAGGUAGCAUAAUCCCUUGCCUCUUAAUUAGUGGCUAGUAUGAAUGGAUAGACAAGAAUUAUACUGUCUCUACAAGAAAUCUAAAAAUUACUCCUCAAGUGAAGAAUCUUGAAUCCCAAUAAAAGACAAGAAGACCCUGUAGAGCCUUAACACUAACUUAAUCUCUAAAUAAUACUUAAAAUUAAUCUUAAAUAAUGUUUUAGUUGGGGCGACUAAGGAAUGUAUUAAAACCCUCCUUAUUACAAAAAGGCUUUCACGCCACUAUAAUGACCCAUUUUAUGUACAACGAAAUAGGCUACCUCAGGGAUAACAGUCUAAUCUUCCUCAAGAGCCCAAAUUGACAGGAAGGAUUGGCACCUCGAUGUUGGCUUAGGAAAUCUUCAAGGCGCAACAGCCUUGACAGAAGGUUUGUUCAACCUUUAAUAUCCUACGUGAUC
rnacentral:rRNA from 1 species